CUUUCAAUUCAGUAAGAGCCAGAGUCUAUUAUCUUUUAAAUAAACGUCUUCUUACUGCAUAAAGUAUUGUAAAUACUUUUGAGGUCAUAGUUUAUCUUCUUCUAGUAGUACCAGCACAAGAUAUUUUACACAAACAAAAAUAAAAGUAUAAUAUCAAGAACUUGCCUGAGAUAAGCCCGAAGCCCGUAUAUCCACUUAGAACACUAACCUCAGGAUUAUGUUCGCCCAGAUAAGAUGAUUCACAGCAUGUGCUCACGAAAAAAAUAUUUUUAAGUAAUCAAAUUUCUUCGAUAACUUUCAAAACUUCUUAAAAAUACUUGGAAUCUUCGGAGUAAGCUUUCUCAGUUGCUUGUUGAGAGUAGAAGUCAAUUAUUUCAGGCAAUAAUUGCAAUACCGUAGGAGAUACAUUUCUGAUAUGAGGUAAAUGCACGUUUAACUAGAGUAAGAUUGUUCCAAUUUUAUUUUAAAGGUUAGUACUUCUAAGAGCAUUGUAUUCACAAUUUUCACAAGGUCAAGGAAAACUGGAUAUAUAAAGGGGUUCAAGCACACGCUGAAAUUUUUCUAUUUUCCUAGACCACUGCGGUUUUUUCUCUGCUCACAUACCGACGAGAGAAAUGUGGACGAGGUAAAGUCGCUGAAGCAGAGGCGCAAUGAGCUUUUUCACGGAUGUUGUUUAUGUAGAAGUGGUUGUUAUUUGGGCAGUAUAUGUACUGCUCCAAAAUUCAGAGUCUUUCAGGGAAGUGAGCAUUUACUCCGGCGAGCAGCCUUGCCCCAUUCACAUCGAAAUAGGCACAAGUUGAAUCUCCGUUGUAAUCUUACAUUCUAGCAUUAGACCUAUGGGGCUCGUGUGCGCUUAGCAGGCGUUGGUUCACGGUGAGUUUCUGUGCGACUGCAAGAUCCUUUUGAAAUCAAGUAGAAUGCAGGAGAUCUACUCAACUAUUUGCCCUCAGCAAAGUUCAUCUUGCCGCAAUCGUAUAAGUUCAAAAUAUCUUAUAUAUAGUAUGAUCAACUAUAUAAGAUAUCACAGCGGACCGAUUUUCAGAGCUUUCCAAGUGAGAUCGCUUUUUAGAAUUUCUGCUUGAAAUCGUGUCAGUAUUUCAAGAACUCGAUCAUUGAAGGCAGUCUAAGCUUACUUAAUACAUCCUCAAACUUUGCAGGUAUAGUCGAGUGUUAAAUCACAACGGCUUAAAGGUCAACUGUAGUGACCCAGGAAGUUUAAGAAGUUGAGAAUUAUUCUCAAAAGGGGGAACGCUUUACUCCAAUUGGGCAGAGACUAUUAAAUCUUUUGAUUGAGACACCUAUAAACACAUACUCGUAGACAUCUCUUCAGGAAACAUAAUGAAGCGCAGCGAUCAAUUGAAAACUCAAUUUGCGCGAAAUUCCAAUGAAUCUCCACUUCACCAAUAAAAGCAAACCACAAAAAAAAUAACAAUUUACAAGCAAGAAACAUAAAAUCCAAUCAAAUCAUUAAUGAUUUCACUAUAUUUUUUUUCUGCAUGUACACAACAAUAAGGUAAUAAAUAAACGAAUAAUUUAUUUUCCGCCAGUGGCCACAGACAAGCGGCGCGAUCAACCUGAUUGUGUCGAAGCGAUUGCCCAGUUUGGUCACUGAUCGGCAGUGAAUGCCAAUGAUUGGCAAUAAGCAAGCAAUACACUGCCAUAGAUAUAAUUGUGUAUGUGUGUGCGUACGUGUGUGUGAAGGCAAACAGUUUUUAGGCGAACAAAGUUGUUAAAAUGCGUGGACCAGAGGUAGAGCGCGGCGACAGCAACAAUAUUGGCGAAGCAAGUCGAGCAACAGCUGUACGCCGCAGACGGCAUGAAUUAUGCGCGCGCAUGUGUGUGUGAGUGUGUAAAAGGCUUGUGUAGAACUGGCAAGUGCAUAAUAAGGAGCAUGGCAACAGCUUACAAGCAACAACAAUUACAACAAACACAUUAUCACAACGCGUCAACACAAAUCGACACACGCUGAAUGUGGUACAGCUUUGCGGCGGCAAAAAAUGCGGCCACAGUCAAUCCGCAAGCAGUCAGACAACGCGCGGCCGAUAAUCAACGACCCGGGCCACGGCAACAGUGCGCGCAUACACAGCCGUACUUGCGCGCACAUAUGUAACAGCAUGUGCAACACAUAACUUGUUGGCGACGCAAGUCUGCGAACACAAUUCCACCACCAAUCUACCGUGCGCGCCCCGUACGCGCAACGUAACGCAUACAAACUGAGUUAAUAGAGGUGCGGCAAGAAACCGGUGAAUGCGUUAAGUGUGCGCCACAAUGGCGAUUCCCAAAACAACAACAAUACCAACAAAUAUUGAGAUCACAAGAAAAGUUGUUAUAAGCGAUCAAACAAAAAGGUAUUAAAAAAAAACGAACAUUGUCGGCAAUAACACCAAUUUAAGCGAACGCGCCGCGGGCAAUGCACACCUCCGUCGCCAACAUUUAUUUACAGACACGCCAGCGCACUGCGCACUGACAUUCCCAAUAAAAUGUGCGCAUACAUACUCACGUGCUCAGACGCACACACUUUUUACUUGCGGUCGCAGUAAAAAAAAAUCAAAAUAAAUAAACAAAUCUGAAGUCAGUCGUGCGCGCCACAAAACCGCGCCUCGCAACUUCAAGACAACGACGUAGCGCGCACAGCUUUUUCUUAUUCAUACACACAUACAGUGUUUACGUAUGUAAUAUAAGGAUCAUUGAUUAUAGGAAGCCAAUCUGUUGUUUUUUUUUUUUUGUUUUGAUUUCUGUUUUAGUUUUUCUUCUUUAUAUCACGUUAUGUGGCGCGUCAUGCGCUUUAUCGUUGAAACGGAAACGCACCGGCAGUCGAUUUCAAAAGAAGCGCAAAAAAGAUCGAACAACUGAUCAAUCGAUUGAAUGAGUUCGAACGGCUGCUCAAAUAAAGUGUUGGUGCGGCUUGCCACGAUGUAACAUACAUAUACAAGUAUAUGUCUUGGCUGAGUGAAGGUGUGAUUGAGUGAAGUAGUCACAAUUGAUCGGCGGCACAGCUGCCGCGUACACACUGACAACCAGCUGCGGAUGAAAAAUGAUGGAUGUCAAUAGCAGUUCGUUGUCAAAGCUUCAUCUCUUGAAUUCGAUCGUUGUUGACAGAAAUGAAGUGAUCUGCUGUGCGAACGAAAUGAUCUAUAGAUGUGGCAAUUCAUUCAGUCAGACGAUGGGAGAAAGGGUCUGAUGGUUCAGGGUGGUGCCCAGCUGUGUGUUUACAGUAGAAAUUUGGUCGUCCAGAGAUAUGCUAAGAAAGAAGCGAAUAGAAGAUUAAAAAUUCAAAAUAAAAAUUGUGUGACCCAUAGGAUUUUUUGUGUAUGAAGCAAAAAAAAACAAGUAAUAGGUAAUUUUAUAUAGUGG